rnacentral:rRNA from 1 species
CCUACGGGGGACAGCAGUGGGGAAUAUUGCACAAUGGGGGAAACCCUGAUGCAGCAAUGCCGCGUGGGUGAAGAAGGAUUUCGGUUUGUAAAGCCCUAUCAGCAGGGAAGAGAAUGACGGUACCUGACUAUAAAGCCCCUGCUAACUAUGUGCCAGCAGCCGCGGUAAUACGUAGGGGGCAAGCGUUAUCCGGAUUUACGGGGUGUAAAGGGAGCGUAGACGGUUGUGCAAGUCUGAUGUGAAAGCCCGCGGCUCAACUGCGGAACGGCUUUGGAAACUGUGUAGCUGGAGUGCUGGAGAGGUAGGCGGAAUGCCAGGUGUAGGAGUGAAAUGCGUAGAUAUCUGGAGGAACAUCAAUGGCGAAGGCAGCUAUCUGGGACAUAACUGACGCUGAGGAGCGAAAGCGUGGGUAGCAAACAGGAUUAGAUACCCGAGUAGUC